rnacentral:tRNA from 3 species
AAUGAAGUGCCUGAUAAAAGGAUUAUUUUGAUAGAAUAAAUCAUGUAAAUUUUUACCUUCAUUA